CCUAGCAUUGUGCUUGGCACAUAAUAAGUACUCAAUAAAUAUUUGUGGAAUAAAGGAGUAAGUGGAUAAGUGAUUAUGCCAAAUGACUCUCUUCAUUCUUGUUAUGUCAAUACCCUAAAUAAUCGAGUGGAUCCCUAAGGACUUUUUUCUUUAACCAAAUCAUUUCUGUUAUUGUUUUCAAUCUACAUUCAUCCUUAGUUACGUAAAUACUUAUCUGCUAUAUUGUAAGCUCCAUGAGGGAAGAGACCAACCAGGUCUCUAUAUUUAAACAUUUUACUCCUGGUGUCUUAACCAUAGUAGAUCCUCAGUAUUUUAAAGAUGACUGCGUGAUGAGGAAAGGUAUGUAAGGAAGUGAGAGAUAAAGGGUGGGAGGGAUUCUCUCUUGCAUGGAAGGCAGAAAAUUUGUUUCUAUUCUUGCAUAAAGCAUUGAACUUCUCCUCUUCCCCCUCUUUAUUAUUAUGAUGAUUUUUUAGUUUUUAUUUUUAUUGAUGAUGUCUUGUCCUGGCUCUACUAAGCAGGGCUUUGACCGUGAGCACACAGAUUUGUAUUUUUGAGUUGCAAUUUUUUCAUCUGCAAUGUUGAAGUAACAUCACUUCAGGUGCGGUCUGUGGCCCAAUUGCAUCAGAAUUCCCUUGAGUGCACAAUAAACAUGCAUUUUCUUGGUCUCUAACUGAAUGUCCACCUGCCCAGCAUCUCUGUGACUGGGGUGCAGGGCAACUCUUUCAGUGAUUCUUCUGCAGACUGAAGUCUAAGAAACACUGGUGAGGGGUUAUAUUAAAUGAUCUUCUAUGAUUCUGAAUUCUACUAUGGAAUUGAAAUAGUACAUAUUGGCCAUCUGGUGAGAGAAAGAGAGAGCUAUGUUCUUUAGUUAUUGCUCAUGUAGAUUGCUAUUGCAGGAAGUUUCCUAGUAAUUCUUGUCAGCUGCUAAGCAAUGUGCUGUGUCUUGUGAGUAAUGGUCUAUUCUUUGCAUUAUAUUGUAUUAAAUUACAUUAUUCCUCAUGCUUUGUGUCUUGGGGAAAAAUAAAACUGUGGUAUGGUAAUUUCUCUUAGGAAAUGUUUCUGCUUAUACAUCUCACAUAGUUCAUGACUCAGUCUUCAAAUACACAACUUUUGGGGAGUAGCCCAUGUAUUUGGGGAAACUGCAGUAACUUCUUCCAGCUAUGGGUUCAACUUGGUACACUGGUGAUGUUUAUUCUGUAACAUGAUGACAACAAAGCGCCAUGGGAACUUAGUGGUCAGUAAAGACCACUGAAGACCAAGUAGGGAAAAAUGACUAUCAAGGCAGAACAUAUGAUAUAAGAAAUGGAAAAUAAUUACAAAAAUUCAAGCAAGGAGUAAUUUUUCUCUAGCUAGAAAGCUUAGAGAAGACCUUGGGGAGAGAGGAAAUUGGAUGAGUAAUAACUUUUGACAAGGAUUCCAUGGGAGGAGGGGAGUAAAGACACUGCCAACUGAGCAGGGUGGCACAGGUGCAGAAAUGGGGUAGAAGUGGGCUCAGGAGAAAUACCUUCUUCUAAAAGUUCAGCUCAAGAGGAAUUAAUUUAUAUCUGCAUUCAUGAGUCAGCAGGUUUAAUAGAAUUCUAGAAAAUGCUCAUAAAGCUGAAAAUGGAAGCAAGGGCACCCCCUUAGAACUGCAUGGACAUUUUAGGAAAAGGAUAGCUCUGAUUUGAAGGAUUUGAUUUGAAGGGGAUGCAUCUCAUUCUCAGUAUUUCAGACUGAAUUUAAUGUCUGCAUGCCAUCUACCCACUUAGUGUUUGAGAUACACAUGCACAUACACAUAUAGUAGUUUAUAUUAAUUUAACCCUUUCAUGUAACUUGGCUGAGGACUCAUGUUUCAGAUACUCCCAGCAAUGCUGAGAAUCACCCAACAGUAGCUCUAAAAAAGAAUUACACUGGGAAGCUCAUCAAAACUUGCAUUUAUGCAUAAAGUAAAUAAUUAUUACUGAGAAUAGUAACAAUGGCACUUCAUACUGGGGCCACGAUUUUUACAAUUUAAAGUGAUCCUUUUUGGGAGUUCUCGUCAUGGCUUGGUGGUUAACGAAUCCGACUAGAAACCAUGAGGUUGCAGAUGCGAUCUCUGGCCUCGCUCAGUGGGUUAAGGAUCCGGCAUUUCUGUGAACUGUGGUAUAGGUCGCUGAUGUGGCUCAGAUCCCUCGUUGCUGUGGCUGUGGUGUAGACCUGCGGCUACAGCUCUGAUUAGACCCCUAGCCUGGGAAACUCCAUAUGCUACGGGUACAGCCCUAGAAAAGGUAAAAAUACAAAAAACAUUUAAAGUGAUCCUUUUUGCAUCACUUCUUUUAAUCCUCACCACCAUCUCGUAAGGUAGGUCUUACCUCUCAGCAUUCUGAUGGUACAGGUGGUAUGGAUGGCUAAGAGAAAUAGUCAUCCACCUUUGCAUCAGGGUGGGCUUGCACCCAGCCUCCUUUAUGUUUUGAAGGUGUCUAAAGUUGUGAGGUUCUAAAGAGUAGGCAGAAUUUUCCCUUAUAAAUUCUGGGUCCCAUCCUCAAUGAUCUAUGUAUGGUAGAACCUCUGAAAGAGCAACAGAAGAUAGGAAAAAUGUUGGACUGUAAGUUAGCUGACACCCAAGAGCAUCCUUGGAAGUUUUGGAAUUGGAUAGGGCCUCAUAGCUCCUUUUUUUGUGAACAGGGAAAUGGGCAGCUGAAGUGGGCAUUGACACAGCCAUGCACGACAGUCAGUGCCCAGAUUACAGUUCCAGUCUCAGCACCAAUUUUCCAGAAAUAACUUGCCUGGGCUUUUUGCCACUCUGAGGUUAGACAUAGGACUGUUUCUGCACUUUGGUAACACCAUCUGCUAAUUUUCCAGUUCAUAUUUAACAUAGUACUGAAAGACCCCGGAUACUCGUGAGCCUUAAGGCAAUUGGAGAGCUCACAGAAAGUGGGACCAAGAGAUUUGUUUUGACUCUCUGCUAUCAUGUGCAGGGGCAGACCUUGAGUACCUAUACUCUAGCAAAUAAAUGGGACAUGGUAUGAAUUCCUAGCUGAGUAAAGGAAGAAUAGUGCUGUAUCAACAAUGUUUGGAAGGGAUGUCUUAGCAACCAGUAAAGGGCAUCAGAUAAUGACAAGAAAAAUGGAACUGUCACAUCGAGGGAGAAUCUUAAGCAGCUGAUUUGGAAGGUUAAUGGUAUGUUACAGUAUAUUUAUGAUUUUCCACUUCCAGAAGAAUUAAGCCACUAAGUGAAUGCCAGCAAAUCACUGGAGAAGCCAGAAGAAGAAUUCUUGGCUCAGAAUUCUUCUCUGAUUUCUACUCUUGUCUCCCGAGGUGAACAGUCCAGUUCUAGGCACAAGUCUGCCCAGCACAACAGAGAAGCCCCAGAGUGCUGUGCUAUGUCUUUCUCAGUUUAGGAAGACAUGUUCAUAGAAGACUUAUACUAAUUAUUCCACUAAAAGCCCCACAUUUCCCUUUUUAUUGCACAGAGAAUAAAGACCUACAGUUGCACUGCAGUGUAGAAAUUCAUGAACU
rnacentral:lncRNA from 1 species